UGCCAGACUCCUACGGGAGGCAGCAGUGGGGAAUAUUGCACAAUGGGGGGAACCCUGAUGCAGCGACGCCGCGUGAGUGAAGAAGUAUUUCGGUAUGUAAAGCUCUAUCGGCAGGGAAGAAAAUGACGGUACCUGAGUAAGAAGCCCCGGCUAACUACGUGCCAGCAGCCGCGGGAAUACGUAGGGGGCAAGCGUUAUCCGGAUUCACUGGGUGUAAAGGGAGCGUAGACGGCCAUGCAAGCCUGGAGUGAAAGCCCGGGGCCCAACCCCGGGACUGCUCUGGGAACUGUGCGGCUGGAGUGCGGGAGGGGCAGGCGGAAUUCCUGGUGUAGCGGUGAAAUGCGUAGAUAUCAGGAGGAACACCAGUGGCGAAGGCGGCUUACUGGACUGUAACUGACGUUGAGGCUCGAAAGCGUGGGGAGCAAACAGGAUUAGAUACCCGCGUA
rnacentral:rRNA from 1 species